UACGAAGGGGGCUAGCGUUGCUCGGAAUCACUGGGCGUAAAGCGCACGUAGGCGGCUUUCUAAGUCAGGGGUGAAAUCCUGGAGCUCAACUCCAGAACUGCCUUUGAUACUGGAGAGCUCGAGUCCGGAAGAGGUGAGUGGAACUCCGAGUGUAGAGGCGAAAUUCGUAGAUAUUCGGAAGAACACCAGUGGCGAAGGCGGCUCACUGGUCCGGUACUGACGCUGAUGUGCGAAAGCGUGGGUAGCAAACAGG
rnacentral:rRNA from 1 species